AAGAACGCGAGGCUGGGUCGAUGAUUUCCUUCAACAUGAGCGGAUCGUCUAUCUCCUAGAUCCGUCGUUUUCUCUUCUUCAAUAGAUCGUCGAUCUCCUAGCAAUUCACGAGCAGAAAAGGUUUCUACAAGCAGACAACAAAGAAAGGUAUCUCCAAGUCAAAGCCUUCUCCCCGGAAAGCCCCUCCCAAACACGCAGCCACCCAAGUUUCUGAUGCUACACAGCGGGAGAUGUUGAUUUCGCACGGCUCCCUCGAUGUCAACGAUGCCUCAAAGUUGUCACUAGCCAAGCUUUUGCCUCAGCAGGUCGUCGCCGUCUUGCUUGCGUGGCUGACCAACGUCGCCGGCGAAGCUAUCCAUGGUUGGUUCCAGUUUCGAUCGGACGCAUUUGAAAAGCUAAUAAAAGUUUACCACAUUCACAGUUUCAAAUACGAUUCUAUCUGAUAUUUUCAUCCACAUGACCUUUGCUUGAUUUCUCUUUAUUUGCUUCUCCGGUAACAAAAAAGGUAAAGGGGCGAGAAGAAGGCACAUAUGGUAUACCACCAUUCUCUCUACUAUAGGAGAAGCACGCGCAAGAGCAUGGCAAGUGGCAACUCCACCAGUAGCAGUAUUUUGCGUUUGUCAGCUUAUAUGUUUUUUUUCUUCUUUUUUAUAAAUGUGUUUCGUUAUGUAUAGAUUCAAAUGUCCUUGGUCAGAUUUUUUUUUUCAAUUCAGAGGGAAGAUUUGGUAUGUUUUUCUUUCUGAGGAUUUUGCAGAUCGGACAAGGGAUGUACAUUAGCGUGUUCUGUGCACGAGAGCCUGAAACAGGAAGAAUACUGGCUUUCAAGAAGGCUAGGUUUGACAAUUUUGAGGCAGAUAGUGUUAGGUCCAUCACAAGACAGAUUGUGAUACUUAGGAGACUUAAUCAAGUUUUUCUCUUAAAUCAAAAGCUAAUGGUAGGACUUAGCAUUUGGGGAAUUCGAGCAUAUAUAAAGGUAUAGGUCUUAAGAAAGAAUGGGCAAGGAUUUCUUUCGAUCUGCCACAUCCUAUCGUAUGAUCUAGCAAUCUUGGACAAUUGUUUUGAUGAGCUGUCACUAAACCUGAGUGCGCUGUCUGUCUUCUCGGCUGGCCCAAGUUAAAUGUUUUAUGAGUCAUAGUAUUCUAGCAUGAAUAAGGGGUUCGAAGAGACUCAUGCAAGAUGUAGAUGCUUGUGUGCGUAAACUAAAAGUAGAAGCAUUAGCACUUGCCAGGAAAGAGUUUGUGCAUACAAGUAACGGGUUUGUUCUUUGCAGAAAGUCUAAUAAAGUGGAGAAAGAUCAUGAAAAGAGCUACAUUUGGUGGCUGAUGGUCAAAAGGGUUUUGUAACUUUGGUAUCAUUUUGGUUGGGGAAAAGAAACAUGAGGCAAUGUAAUUUUAUAUUAUGUUAUGAACUCCAAAGUUAUUGAAUAAGUGAUGUACUACUAUGAAAACCUUCUGUAAUUGUAACUCAAUAAUAACAAUGAAGGUAAAUAAUAAUUUUUUUUGGUUA